CUACAUGAAGUUGGAAUCGCUAGUAAUCGCGGAUCGGCAUGCCGCGGUGAAUACGUUCCCGGGCCUUGUACACACCGCCGUCACACCAUGAGAGUCGGGAACACCCGAAGUCCGUAGCCUAACCGCGAAGGGGGCGCGGCCGAAGGUGGGUUCGAUAAUUGGGGUGAAGUCGUAACAAGGUAGC
rnacentral:rRNA from 1 species